UGUACCUUUUAGGUACUAAUAUGGACACUUUAGGUACCAAUAUGUUCUCUUUAGGUACUAAUAUGGACUCUUUAGGUACAAAGGUG